rnacentral:rRNA from 1 species
GAUGAACGCUGGCGGCGUGCUUAACACAUGCAAGUCGAACGAAGCACCUUGAUUCGAUUCUUCGGAUGAAGAUCUUGGUGACUGAGUGGCGGACGGGUGAGUAACGCGUGGGUAACCUGCCUCAUACAGGGGGAUAACAGUUAGAAAUGACUGCUAAUACCGCAUAAGACCACAGCACCGCAUUGUGCAGGGGUAAAAAGUCCGGUGGUAUGAGAUGGACCCGCGUCUGAUUAGGUAGUUGGUGGGGUAACGGCCUACCAAGCCGACGAUCAGUAGCCGAGCUGUGAGGGUGACCGGCCACAUUGGGACUGAGACACGGCCCAAACUCCUACGGGAGGCAGCAGUGGGGAAUAUUGCACAAUGGGGGAAACCCUGAUGCAGCGACGCCGCGUGAGCGAUGAAGUAUUUCGGUAUGUAAAGCUCUAUCAGCAGGGGAGAAAAUGACGGUACCUGACUAAGAAGCACCGGCUAAAUACGUG